AUCAACAAAUCACCAACAACUACCAUUGCAAGCUUGUUCUUACUUUCGUUUGUAAGCCUUCGGUUCUAAGCUUUCCCUUUUGUAAGCUUUUGGUUGUAAGCUAGUAACCUAGAUUCCUCCAUAAUAAUAAAGGUCUUUUCUUCCCUCAUUUUUGGAGCUAUAUACUUUAUUCAUUCUUCUUCAACUUUGGUUGCGAGUUUUGAGCUAUUGGAAAUUUAUUUUACACUAUUCUAAGAAUGCAAUUUUCGGUAUUUGAAAUUUGUCUUUCUUCAUACGGAUUAAGAGAUAUAAUCCACGCUACUUAAUAAAUAAUUAGAUAUAACCUCAAAUUUAGAACCCUCAUAUCGAAACUUAAAGCUAUAAAUUACCAAAAUAAUAUUUACCUUUGUUAUUCUUCUACUUCAAUUUUACGGCAGUCAAGAAUCUGAAUUUUGAGUCAGUUAGAGUUCUCAAAAACUCGACAUCUUCCAGAAGUUGUAUAUUUUGGAAAAAUAUGCGAAAAUCACUCCAUUCUUAAUUAGAUGAUUGAAGUUACGAUGUUGUAAAGUUUUGUGCUGAAAAUAGUGAUGGAUCAAGACAAAUUUUGGUUUUCAUCAAUUUAAGGUAGGACGAGAACGUCAAACUAUUUUACUUCGUCAAAGUUGUAGAUGGCGAAAAACUAAAGAAACAGACCAAGUCCGCAUUACCUUUCCCCAUAUAUAUACAUACACAUAUAUAUGUAUAUAUAUGUGGCUGUGGCACAAGCAUUUCAUUAAUGGUAUUAGUUUUUUCAUUAAUGUUUUUUGUCAUUUCACUAAUAUAGUAAUUAGAAGUAUGUCAUAUUAGG
rnacentral:lncRNA from 1 species